AUUUAGAAGGACCCUAAAUCAGCUUUGACUUACUUUUCCAGUAAGACAGAAGCUAUAUGCAACAGAAACAAAUCAAUAAUAGCUCCACAGUUACCAGAUCUUAAUGCACAUUCUUGAUACUACUUUAAAGAGGCUGCUCUAUCGGGAACACACUGGGCGGCUCCACGCCGCAUCUAGUUAGCUGUGCAUCAACUAGAUCCUACCUCACUCUAAGGAGAUGGACUGAACUGUUAAACCAGCCUAUCCGGGGCCGGUUUGUGGAGGCAGCAGUCUAAGCAAAGACGCCCAGUCUUCCCGAUCCACAUACACUUCCUCCAGCUGCUUUGGGGGGACCCCAAGGUGACACCAGGCCAGCUCAGACACAUAGUCCCUCCAGCAUGUCCUGGGCCUUCCACGAGGCCUCCUCCCAAUGGGACAGGCCUGGAACCCCUCCAGACAGAGGCAACCAGGAGGCAUCCGAAACAGAUGCCUGAGCCACCUCAGUUGCCUCCUUUUGACAUGGACGAGCAACGACUCUACUCCGAGCUCCACCCGGAUAACUGAGGUCUGUCUGUCUGUCUCCAUUCGUGUUAUAAUUUACCAAUUUAGAUGGGGGUCUGUGGAGGAUAACUGUUGCCUGAGCUGCACUCUGCUUUCGCUGAGAAAGCACAACGUUUAGCUCCAGGAAAUUAAUAUUCUGACUCGGAGAAGUCCGAUAGAGGUUCUAAGUGGUAGCAUCAUAGAGGAAGUGAAACAAGCUUUAAAUAACACCUUUUAUAAUAAUAGUAUUGUCCUCAUGUCUCCCAAUUUGCCCGUGGCUGCACAUGGUGGUUAAACAUAAAAACAUUCCCAAUAAAUGAUGCAAAGCAGAAACAAACAACGUCCAACGAAUGUGCAGCGUUUGGGUUUAGUUAGAAAG